rnacentral:rRNA from 1 species
AGAGUUUGAUCCUGGCUCAGAACGAACGCUGGCGGCAGGCCUAACACAUGCAAGUCGAGCGCUUCACUUCGGUGAGGAGCGGCGGACGGGUUAGUAACGCGUGGGAAUAUACCCUUCACUAUGGAAUAGCCUCGGGAAACUGAGAGUAAUACCAUAUACGCCCUUCGGGGGAAAGAUUUAUCGGUGAAGGAUUAGCCCGCGUAAGAUUAGAUAGUUGGUGGGGUAUGGCCUACCAAGUCUACGAUCUUAGCU